rnacentral:snoRNA from 1 species
UGUGGCCCGUAUGGAAGCUGCGGCGGCUUCCAUGCAGCUGCUGUGGUCAGGAAGGAGCGGAGGGAGCGCUCUCGCUCUCCCGGACGGCU